rnacentral:rRNA from 1 species
AACGCUAGCUACAGGCUUAACGCAUGCAAGUCGAGGGGCAGCAUUAGGUAGCAAUACUGAGAUGGCGACCGGCGCACGGGUGCGUAACGCGUAUCCAACUUUCCCGUUACUCUGGGAUAGCCUUCCGAAAGGGAGAUUAAUACCGGAUGGUGUUGAAAUUUCGCAUGUUAUUUCAACUAAAGAUUUAUCGGUAACGGAUAGGGAUGCGUGACAUUAGGUAGAUGGCGGGGUAACGGCCCACCAUGCCUACGAUGUCUAGGGGUUCUGAGAGGAAGGUCCCCCACACUGGGACUGAGACACGGUCCAGACUCCUACGGGAGGCAGCAGUGAGGAAUAUUGGUCAAUGGUCGGAAGACUGAACCAGCCAAGUAGCGUGAAGGAUGAAGGUUCUAUGGAUUGUAAACUUCUUUUAUAUAGGAAUAAAACCUCCCACGUGUGGGAGCUUGUAUGUACUAUAUAAAUAAGCAUCGGCUAACUCCGUGCCAGCAGCCGCGGUAAUACGGAGGAUGCGAGCGUUAUCCGGAUUUAUUGGGUUUAAAGGGAGCGUAGACGGGAUGUUAAGUCAGUUGUGAAAGGCUGCGGCUCAACCGCAGCACUGCAGUUGAUACUGGCGUCCUUGAGUGCGGUUGAGGUGUGUGGAAUUCGUGGUGUAGCGGUGAAAUGCUUAGAUAUCACGAAGAACUCCGAUUG